rnacentral:piRNA from 1 species
UAGGACAGCUGUGCUUUGCUUGCACC